AUCAAAUGAAACCUCCUAAUAUCAUUUGAUGAAAAACCUAAACUUUUUUUUUCAUAAUAAUCUCCCAUAAGGAUCGCCAAAUUUGGCGAUCCUUUU
rnacentral:sRNA from 1 species